rnacentral:rRNA from 1 species
UUCUAAGGCGCUUGAGAGAACUCAGGAGAAGGAACUCGGCAAAUUGACACCGUAACUUCGGGAGAAGGUGUGCCUCUGUCGGUGUAGGACUUCGCGUCCGAAGCUGAUAGAGGUCGCAGAGAAUAGGUGGCUGCGACUGUUUAACAAAAACACAGCUCUGUGCCAACACGAAAGUGGACGUAUACGGAGUGACGCCUGCCCGGUGCUGGAAGAUUAAAUGAUGGGGUGCAAGCUCUUGAUUGAAGUCCCAGUAAACGGCGGCCGUAACUAUAACGGUCCUAAGGUAGCGAAAUUCCUUGUCGGGUAAGUUCCGACCCGCACGAAUGGCGUAACGAUGGCCACACUGUCUCCUCCUGAGACUCAGCGAAGUUGAAAUGUUUGUGAAGAUGCAAUCUACCCGCUGCUAGACGGAAAGACCCCGUGAACCUUUACUGUAGCUUUGCAUUGGACUUUGAACAGACUUGUGUAGGAUAGGUGGGAGGCUAUGAAGUACGGACGCUAGUUCGUAUGGAGCCGUCCUUGAAAUACCACCCUGGUGUGUUUGAGGUUCUAACCUUGGUCCGUGAUCCGGAUCGGGGACAGUGCAUGGUAGGCAGUUUGACUGGGGCGGUCUCCUCCCAAAGUGUAACGGAGGAGUUCGAAGGUUACCUAGGUACGGUCGGAAAUCGUGCUGAUAGUGCAAUGGCAAAAGGUAGCUUAACUGCGAGACCGACAAGUCGAGCAGGUGCGAAAGCAGGACAUAGUGAUCCGGUGGUUCUGAAUGGAAGGGCCAUCGCUCAACGGAUAAAAGGUACUCCGGGGAUAACAGGCUGAUUCCGCCCAAGAGUUCACAUCGACGGCGGAGUUUGGCACCUCGAUGUCGGCUCAUCACAUCCUGGGGCUGUAGCCGGUCCCAAGGGUAUGGCUGUUCGCCAUUUAAAGUGGUACGUGAGCUGGGUUCAAAACGUCGUGAGACAGUUUGGUCCCUAUCUGCAGUGGGCGUUGGAAGUUUGACGGGGGCUGCUCCUAGUACGAGAGGACCGGAGUGGACGAACCUCUGGUGUACCGGUUGUGACGCCAGUCGCAUCGCCGGGUAGCUAAGUUCGGAAGAGAUAACCGCUGAAAGCAUCUAAGCGGGAAACUUGCCUGAAGAUGAGACUUCCCUGGAGGCUUGACCUCCCUGAAGAGUCGUUCGAGACCAGGACGUUGAUAGGUCGGGUGUGGAAGCGCUGUGAGGCGUUAAGCUAACCGAUACUAAUUGCUCGUGAGGCUUGAUC